rnacentral:rRNA from 1 species
GACGAACGCUGGCGGCGUGCUUAACACAUGCAAGUCUACGAGAACGAGGUAGCAAUAUCUUUAGUAAAGUGGCGUACGGGUGCGUAACACGUAAGCAAUCUACCUUUGGGUCUGGAAUAACUUCGAGAAAUCGAGGCUAAUACCGGAUAAUGCAGCGGCACCGCAUGGUGAUGUUGUUAAAGUUUAUGUAAUGCCUAUAGAUGAGCUUGCGUCUGAUUAGCUAGUUGGUGAGGUAACGGCCCACCAAGGCUACGAUCAGUAGCUGGUCUGAGAGGAUGAUCAGCCACACUGGAACUGAGACACGGUCCAGACUCCUACGGGAGGCAGCAGUGAGGAAUAUUGGGCAAUGCCCGCAAGGGUGACCCAGCAACGCCGCGUGGAGGAUGAAGGUCGUAAGAUCGUAAACUCCUGUUAGAGGGGAAGAACACCACCGAUUGGAUCGGUGUUUGACUGUACCCUCAGAGAAAGCCCCGGCUAACUACGUG